rnacentral:rRNA from 1 species
GAUGAACGCUGGCGGCGUGCUUAACACAUGCAAGUCGAACGAAGCUGCUUAACUGAUCUUCUUCGGAAUUGACGUUUUGUAGACUGAGUGGCGGACGGGUGAGUAACGCGUGGGUAACCUGCCCUGUACAGGGGGAUAACAGUCAGAAAUGACUGCUAAUACCGCAUAAGACCACAGCACCGCAUGGUGCAGGGGUAAAAACUCCGGUGGUACAGGAUGGACCCGCGUCUGAUUAGCUGGUUGGUGAGGUAACGGCUCACCAAGGCGACGAUCAGUAGCCGGCUUGAGAGAGUGAACGGCCACAUUGGGACUGAGACACGGCCCAAACUCCUACGGGAGGCAGCAGUGGGGAAUAUUGCACAAUGGGGGAAACCCUGAUGCAGCGACGCCGCGUGAGUGAAGAAGUAUCUCGGUAUGUAAAGCUCUAUCAGCAGGGAAGAAAAUGACG